GCGCCCACACACACACGCACACACACGCGCACACACACACACACGCGCACACACACACACACACGUGGACUUUGGGAACACUUACUUGAGCUUUUCCUCUGCUUCCUGCUCACAUUCCUUCCUCAGGAUGUCCAGCUCCUGCUGAUGCUCCUUUCUCAGAGCUCGGAGAUCUUUCUGCAGCCUCCCCACCUCCUUGCUCAGCUUCUGCUUUUCCCGCUCUGACCCUGCUAACUUCGACUCCAGGUCACUGUGCCGGCCGUCCAUGGGGGUCCCCAGUUUCGAUUCUAUCACAUGGGAUUUGGAAUUUUCCUCAGGCCUGUCUUCCAAAAUUUCCACAGACGUAUUUUUCCCACCCAUCUCUUGCUGUGGAGAUUGUGAUUUUUCAUAUUUUAAGGUCAACUUUUCCACUUCAAGCCUAUGGGCGUCCCUCUCUGUUAUUAAGUCUGACUCCAGCUCUCUCACCCUUCGCUCCAGGGGCCUGGCAGCUCAGCUCCUUUUCCUGGAGCGUUUUCUGGACAGUGUCAACCAUACUUGCCCAAUUCUGCUUCAGCCCUGUGUUGUUUUUUACCGGUUUCUUCUCCCAUGGGCUGGGACAGAAUUGAGGGACACUUCAUCCUUUCUUCCAGUUCUUCUUGAAGACAUCCUAUCAAAACCUGAUCCUCGAGCUGCUUGGCUCUGGCGCGAUCUAACUUCACGGAGAGCUCCCUGUGCCGAACCUCAGACUGCGAUGGCGCCGCCUCCCGUUCGCCCUGCUGCAGCCUCUGUGUCAGCCUCUCUUUCUCAAUCACACUUCUCUGCAGCACGCAGACUCGCUCCUUGCAUGCCUUCUGUGUGCACUCUUGGGAAUCUGCUGCCUCUUGCUCAGGAGACGCUGCCACGUUUCCCAUGGAUCCUGACACAACUGCUCUUUCUGGGUGUGGGGAACUUGCUAGGUUUUUAAGUUUUCCUUCUAGGAUGUGGAUUUGCUUUUCUCUGCCCUUGUAACUUUGCACGCAGCUCACUCAGCUGGCUCUCUGUGUCCUUCGCACACUGCUGCACCUUCGCCUCCAUCUGAGACAAGAGCUGCUUCCGGAUGGCGGCGAGCUUCUGCUCCGCCUUCCUCUUCAGCUCCACUUUUGCAGCACUUUCUAACUCAAGUUUGUCUUCUAACGCUUUCAGCUCCCCGUCUCUGCUUUUCACACUUGAAUUCACGUCGUCUAGUUCCUUCCUCACGACGCGGAGUUCAGCUUCCAGCGAGGACACGCGCUCCCGCAGCCCCAGGACCCGUCUCCUCAGCCUCCCUGACCUUGUUGUCUUUCUCUUGCCCCAGCUCUUCCAGGCGCUGCAGUGUCUGAACCAGGCCACUGUGCUCAGUGUCCCUCUGCUGGCUUGCAAUUCCUGAGGGCUUCAUUUAGGGACUCUACUUCUUUUUUCCUCUGAGUAAUACAGUCUUCUAAUUCAACGACCCUGGCUGUCCGAGUCUUUAACUCAGUCUCUAGAUCACACUCCUUUUUCUCCAUCUCGCCCUUUAAACUUUCAAAUCUUUCAUUCUGCUGAUCAAGGUCUUCCUUCAACAAGCGUAUCUGCUCAUCCUUCUCACCAGCUUCUUUGGCUUUUAGGUCAAGCUGUGUCUGCAGGUCUUUAAUCGUGCUUUGGUACUGUGCAAAUCUGGGCUGUGCUUUCUUCUUCCACUCUGAGAACUUGUUGGACAAAUGAUCUACCUGCUCCAGGGCAGACAUUUUCUCCUUACUCAGAGCAUCGACUUUUGAAGACAGCUCCCGAAGCUGAGCUUGCAGCUGCAGCUCUUGUUCCUCAUGCUGCUUGCUCAGUGCAGAGAUGGCCUCGGCCUUGUCGCUCGGGCUGAUGCUGUUCUCCAGCUGAGCACUGACGUCACUUAGCUGCUUGCUAAGACUGGCGAUCUCAGACUUCUUCUCGGAGAGUUCCUCUCUCAGUGUGUGACAGCAUUGAUGUUCUCUGACAACUCCUUCUUCAACUGUGUGAUACACGACUCCUUCUCAGAGGCCACCUGCUGCUGCUGACCUCCUUCUUGCUGUAAGGCUUCUUUUUCUGCGAUAAGACCUUCCAUAUCGGCCUUCAUGGUCUUAAUCUGAUUUUCUUUUUCUUCCAAUGAUUAGUAACUUGCUGAAAAGAGUUCUUUAGUGUACACUGCUCCUCUGUCAACUGUGUAAGUUGUGCUUCUAAUUCAGAAACUUGGCCCAUUCUCCUGAGCAGGGCUUCCCCAACUGUGGCUGUGUGCCGCUGGCAGCGGGACAGCCUGGCGAGAAUAAGCGUCAGCUUUGUCCGGCUGGUGCAGACUAGUUCAUUUGUUUUGGCUUCUAACAAAGCUUUUAGUUCUCUCACAGUGACGGUCUAGCUGAGAUGCUAGCUCCUCAAGCAAGGUUCCUGAGGUUCAAGCUUUUGUCCUCCAAGCUCUUCCUGCUGACCUCAUGUAAGGACUUACAGCUCUGGAGCUCCUCCUCUGCAGCCCUGCACCUUGCCAGUCAGCUCAGAGACCCUGAGCUUCUCCCUCUCUGCCAGCAUUUUCAGCUCAGCCAGCUCCUCUUGAAGAGAAAGCUUUUCAUUCAGAGCACAACCCAAAUCAACUUCCAGCUUUUCCACUUGUGACUGCAACUGAGCGUGACUGUCUGAAAGAGCGAGGACGGCAGCAGACUUCUGCUCCAGCUGCCCCUGCAGGCCAGCUAGGGUCACGUCCUGCCCAGUGACUGCCUCUGUCAGGCGCGCCACUUCCUGAGUCACCUCCUCUUUUUCAGACUGGACCUGUGAGGACCUUCUGCUUCAGCUCCCCAAGCUCCUGCUCCUUCUCCUCUAUCAGCUUCUCAUGCUGGUCCCGAAGCUCUUCAGCCUGCUGACUGAGUUUCUUUUCCCAGGACUCUAUGAGAUCAUCCAGUUCUCGCUGAUGAGCCCCGGUCAGGCUUUCUAUCUGCUGCCUCUGGUUCUCCUCUAGUCUCGACACCGUGUCGCUAAUUCCAGCCGAGUUAGCCUGUGCCAUUUCCAGAUUUUGGCAUUGAACUGCUUCUCUUUCUGACUAAGCUCUAGGACAGUAUUUUCAAGCUCUUUUUUAAGCUUGGCUUCCUGAUCCAACAACUUUUUCUUCAUUUCUUGCAUUUCUUUUGCUUUCUGCUUAAUUUUUUCCAUUCUUUUUUCCUGAUUUUUAAAUUUGGUUUUCAUAUUCCUCGUGUAAAAUACUAAUGCUCUCUUCUUUAGAAAACAAUUUCUGUUUGAGGAUCUCGAUUUCCUUGGCCUGUUCUUCUCGCAUCUGUAAAAUGACAUUUUCCUUUUCCGUCAGGAUCUGCUGUGCUUGCUCUUUCUCCACAUGGCUGUUCUUGAGCUGAGACUCCUGGAGCUGGGCUAAGGAUUUGACCUUGUCCUCCAGUUCACUCCUCUGUCUCUCGAGCUGCUGGACCUGAGCUCUCUGAGCGUCCAAUUCCCACACACACACGCUUCUUCUGUGUUUCCACUUCAACCACCUGCUUGGUCAGAAGGUUCUUCUCUGUUUCCAAGGUCCGAACACCUUUUGCUGCAUUUGGGCCAGCUUGCUCCUCAUAUGCGCCUGUCUGCGCAUGUGUGGUGCUCUGCUGAGCCUGGAGGAGGUCCAGCUUGGCCAAGGCCUGCUGUGAGCUCCUCAGCAGACUUCUGAAGACAAGCUUCAAGAUUGUGUACCUGGGCCUGACGCUCCUGGAGGUGCUCGUCCUUCUCCUUCAGGAGCCCCCCCAGCUGACUGAUCUCAUCUUUCAGUGCCUUCUCGGUUCUGCGGACGAUUAUUUCUUGUUGCCCACUGAUGCUGUCAACCUCACGCUGUGGUGACGCCUUUGCUCCUGCAGCUCGGCCUCUAAAGCCUGCUUCAUUUGAUCUGCGUCCCCCCCUUAGGACAGAAAGCUCCUCUGCAAGCUGGUCCCGGGCUUUCAGUGCUUCUGACAGCUCAGAAGACACAGAUUCCAGUUCCAUUUGCUUCUUGUCGAGCUUCUCCAAGGUCUUUUCAUUCAUGUCUUGUAUGUGGGCUGGAAGAGACUCUCCUUCUCCUUCAGUAAUGCAUCCUUUUCUUGCUGAUGCUUCUCUCUGAGCUCCUCCACAGCAGCCUGAUGCUGCUGCGAGAGGUUCUGGAGUCUCUCGGUCCACAGGCUGUGCUGCUGCUGCUGGAGGCCCUCCAGUUCUGUCCUGUGCUUCUCCGCCAGGGCCGUGAGCUCUGUUUUGUGCAUUGCUCUUCUCAGCUUCCAGAUGAACAGCCAAGCGCUCCGACUGAGUUCUGCAUUCUUGUAAGCUUUUUUCCAAAGACGUUUCCAACUCACGAAUUCU
rnacentral:lncRNA from 1 species